rnacentral:sRNA from 1 species
UCUUUAGCUAGUUAAUAAUAAUCCUAGUGAUUACAUACAAAAUUGGUAACGGUCAACUAUUUAAUGUUUUCCCAAAAGGCAUCCUCAUUCUCACGAGUGCUUCGAUACUAGAAUUCAGCAACAAGAAAUCCACUGAAUACCUCCAGACGGGCAAAAACCGAAUCAUCUGCUAAUCUUCUUAAUCUGAACGUUUUACCAUCGAGAUAGAUCUUUUCUAUAUGAUAACAGGGCUUCCAGGCGACAAGAUUGGUAUGAGAGUUUGGGAUAUAGGCAACAUUUCUAAGGGUAAUGUUAAACCGCUUUCCUCCCUCAUCUAGUUGUCAAACCACCAGUAUACACCUCCUCGUUAGCCGGUUCAAACGAUACGAAUCUCGAUCGAUUAUUACAUAUAUGUUGUUCAGCGCCAGUAGCAAAUAUCCAGGAAUCUCGAAGAUAGUUUAAUGUGGGAUGUCGGAUGUGAUACGCCCAAGUUCCAGCAAUCUUUUCCUGGAAUAUUCAGCUCGGAAGUCAUCGACCAUAUCUGCGAAGCGGGAGUUCCCUUUUCCCUCUAUCUCAAAUUUCUUUUUUCGAAAAGUGACGUACGCGUUAUCGAUUGAUCGAUUGGCAUGAAAGAAGUCCUGCCAUAGAUCAAAGUUUCCUUCUAUUCCUGCUCGUCGAAUCUUAUGUUCAAUCAACAUCCACUCAUCUAGCCACUUAUUUAAACCUCUUUUUGGCGGUUUGCGAAGAUUCUCAUAUCUUAAACGUGCCUCGUACUGACGCUCCGCUAUGCUUGGGCAUAACCUCUUUUUGAGAGCAAUUCAAAGCUUUUUGACAUCGAUAAGCUCAUUUUCACUUAAUGCCAUCUCAAGCUCUCUAGGUUCCACUGUUUCAAGGAUGUCAUGUUUGAUCCUGUUUACACCAUCGACCUUCACCUGAUAUUUCACCAUUUCGUUGUUAUAUUGUGCGUUCUCCAUUUUCCAUCGGAUUAUUGCUUCUGGAGUAAGUUCAGUGGGGAUAUCUGGGGGGGAGAGGGCUGAGCUAAUUGACUAAUAUGCCGGGUUCACUUGCCAUCGGAAUUAUAUAUGAUAUUUCGUUGUCUGCUCAAACAUAUCGUACUAGUCAUCUAUUGGAUUAGUUAGCGGUGUCAGAGGAUAGCCUCCAAGAUAGUUAUCUUGGCGAAGUGGAGAAUAUUCUACGGAGUAGAAUAUUAUCUUCUGCUCGUAGUUGAUCCCUUCCUUAUAUACUACCUACUUUACCAUGUAAUUAUCAGGAUAU